GACGAACGCUGGCGGCGUGCUUAACACAUGCAAGUCGAACGGAAAGGCCCUGCUUUUGUGGGGUGCUCGAGUGGCGAACGGGUGAGUAACACGUGAGUAACCUGCCCUUGACUUUGGGAUAACUUCAGGAAACUGGGGCUAAUACCGGAUAGGAGCUCCUGCUGCAUGGUGGGGGUUGGAAAGAUUCGGCGGUUGUGGCUGGACUCGCGGGUUAUCAGCUUGUUGGUGUGGUAGUGGCUUACCAAGGCUUUGAAGGGUAGCCAGCCUUAGAGGGCUACCGGCCACAUUGGGACUGAGAUACGGCCCAGACUCCUACGUGAGGCAGCAGUGGAGAGUAUUGCACAGUGGGCGGAAGCCUGAUGCAGCAACGCCGCGUGCGGAAUGACGGCCUUCGGGUUGUAAACCGCUUUCGCCUGUGACGAAGCGUGAGUGACGGUAAUGGGUAAAGAAGCACCGGCUAACUACGUG
rnacentral:rRNA from 1 species